AUUAUAUGCAAGAUUCGAGAAGAGUAUCCUGACCACAUCAUGAACACCUUCAGUGUGGUACCCUCACCCAAAAUGUCAGACACUGUGGUUGAGCCCUACAACGCCACCCUCAGUCCAUCAGUUGGUAGAGAACACUGAUGAGACCUACUGCAUUGACAACGAGGCCCUCUAUGACAUCUGCUUCCACACCCUCAAGCUGACCACACCAACCUACGGGGCUCUAAACCACCUCGUCUCAGCCACCAUGAGUGGUGUCACCACCUGCCUUUGCUUCCCUGGCCAGCUCAAUGCUGACCUCCGCAAGCUGGCAGUCAACAUGGUACCCUUCCCAUGUCUCAACUUCUUCAUGCCUGGCUCUGCCCCUCUCACCAGUUGUGGAAGCCAGCAGUAUCCGGCUCUCACAGUACCUGAACUCACCCAGCAGGUCUUCGAUGCCAAGAACAUGAUGGCUGCCUGUGACCCCCACCAUGGCCGGUACCUCACCAUGGCUGCUGUGUUUCAUGGACGGAUGUCCAUGAAGGAGGUAGAUGAGCAGAUGCUCAAUGUGCAGAACAAGAAUAGCAGCUACUUUGUGGAAUGGAUCCCCAACAAUGUCAAGAUAUCCCGCUGUAUGCGAUAUCCCGCCUCAUGGCCUCAAGAUGGCAGUCACUUUCAUCGGCAGCAACACAGCCAUCCAGGAGCUCUUCAAGCGUAUCUCUGAGCAGUUCACUGCAAUGUUCCGCCGGAAGGCCUUCCUCCACUGGUACACAGGUGAGGGCAUGGACGAGAUGGAGUUCACUGAGGCUGAGAGCAACAUGAACGACCUCGUCUCUGAGUAUCAGCAGUACCAGGAUGCCACCGCAGAAGAAGAGGAAGAUUUCAGUGAGGAGGUGGAAGAGGAGGCCUAAGGCAGAGCCCCCAUCACCUCAGGCUUCUCAGUUCCCUUAGCCUUCUUCCUCAUCUGCCCCUUUCCUCUCCCUCAGAAUUUGUGUUUGCUGCCUCUUUUUUUUUCCCCUGGGGGAGAGAGGUCUAGAACAAUGCCUGGCCACAUAAUAGGCGCUCAAUAAAUAUUUGUUUGUUGAA